rnacentral:pre_miRNA from 7 species
UGCUAUGAACAUAGUGGAGCUGAAAGACCCCCGAAGGGAGACCCUCACUCAAGCCUCGGGACAGCCGCGGACCCAAGAAGACACUGAGACCG